rnacentral:rRNA from 1 species
UACGUAGGGGGCAAGCGUUGUCCGGAUUUAUUGGGCGUAAGGAGCGUGUAGGCGGCCAUACAGGUCAGCUGUGAAAACUCGAGGCUCAACCUCGAGACGUCGGUUGAAACCGUAUGGCUAGAGUCCGGAAGAGGAGAGUGGAAUUCCCGGUGUAGCGGUGAAAUGCGCAGAUAUCGGGAAGAACACCUAUGGCGAAGGCAGCUCUCUGGGACGGUACUGACGCUGAGACGCGAAAGCGUGGGGAGCGAACAGG